rnacentral:rRNA from 1 species
CAGUAGCCGCGGGAAUACGUAGGUGGCAAGCGUUGUCCGGAAUUAUUGGGCGUAAAGCGCGCGCAGGCGGAUCAGUCAGUCUGUCUUAAAAGUUCGGGGCUUAACCCCGUGAUGGGACGGAAACUGCUGAUCUAGAGUAUCGGAGAGGAAAGUGGAAUUCCUAGUGUAGCGGUGAAAUGCGUAGAUAUUAGGAAGAACACCAGUGGCGAAGGCGACUUUCUGGACGAAAACUGACGCUGAGGCGCGAAAGCCAGGGGAGCGAACGGGAUUAGAUACCCCCGUAGUCCCUGUCUCUUAUACA